GACGAACGCUGGCGGCGUGGAUUAGGCAUGCAAGUCGGACGGUAGGGCUUUAUCGUAAGAUAGAGUUUGAGAGUGGCGAACGGGUGAGUAACACGUAGGAAUCUACCCUUAAGACGGGGACAACCCAGGGAAACUUGGGCUAAUACCGGAUGAGAGUGCGAGAGAUUGCAUUUAAAAGGAUGGCGAAAGUUGUCGCUUAGGGAUGAGCCUGCGGUCUAUUAGUUAGUUGGUGAGGUAAGAGCUCACCAAGGCGAUGAUAGAUAGGCGGCCUUAACGGGUGGUCGCCCACACUGGGAUUGAGAUACGGCCCAGACUCCUACGGGAGGCAGCAGUCGAGAAUAGUCUACAAUGGCCGGAAGGCUGAUAGUGCGACGCCGCGUGAACGAGGGAGCCUUCGGGUGUAAAGUUCUUUUCUAUACGAGCAGUGCUAUAUAUAUGGAUAGUAUAUAUAGAGGGAUAGUAGUAUAGGAAUAAGCAACGGCUAACUCCGUGCCAGCAGCCGAC
rnacentral:rRNA from 1 species